GGCAGUUCUCGGGUGACACACCCCAUAAUCAGGAUCCCUCCUCUCUGGUUCUGGCGUGUCACCCGAGAACCACC
rfam:Myotis brandtii contig295061, whole genome shotgun sequence.